GGUUACUGCUAUCGGUGUUCGCCUAAGCCAUGCGAGUCAUAUGUUCGUAAGAACAUGGCGUACUGCUCAGUAACACGUGGAUAACCUGCCCUUGGGUCCGGCAUAACCCCGGGAAACUGGGGAUAAUUCCGGAUAACGCACAUAUGCUGGAAUGCUUUUUGCGUAAAAUGGAUUCGUCUGCCCAAGGAUGGGUCUGCGGCCUAUCAGGUAGUAGUGGGUGUAAUGUACCUACUAGCCUACGACGGGUACGGGUUGUGAGAGCAAGAGCCCGGAGAUGGAUUCUGAGACAUGAAUCAGGCCCUACGGGGCGCAGCAGGCGCGAAAACUUUACAAUGCGGGAAACCGUGAUAAGGGGACACCGAGUGCCAGCAUCCUAUGCUGGCUGUCCGGGUGUGUGAAAUACACCUGUUAGCAAGGGCCGGGCAAGACCGGUGCCAGCCGCCGCGGUAACACCGGCGGCCCGAGUGGUGAUCGUGAUUAUUGGGUCUAAAGGGUCCGUAGCCGGUUUGGUCAGUCCUCCGGGAAAUCUGACAGCUCAACUGUUAGGCUAUCGGAGGAUACUGCCAGACUUGGAACCGGGAGAGGUAAGAGGUACUACAGGGGUAGGAGUGAAAUCUUGUAAUCCCUGUGGGACCACCUGUGGCGAAGGCGUCUUACCAGAACGGGUUCGACGGUGAGGGACGAAAGCUGGGGGCACGAACCGGAUUAGAUACCCGGGUAGUCCCAGCCGUAAACGAUGCUCGCUAGGUGUCAGGCAUGGCGCGACCGUGUCUGGUGCCGCAGGGAAGCCGUGAAGCGAGCCACCUGGGAAGUACGGCCGCAAGGCUGAAACUUAA
rnacentral:rRNA from 1 species